rnacentral:rRNA from 1 species
UAGGGAAUCUUCCGCAAUGGACGAAAGUCUGACGGAGCAACGCCGCGUUAGUGAAGAAGGAUUUCGGUUCGUAAAACUCUGUUGUUAGGGAAGAAAAAAUGUAUAGUAACUAUAUACAAAAGAGACGGUACCUAACCAGAAAGCCACGGCUAACUACGUGCCAGCAGCCGCGGUAAUACGUAGGUGGCAAGCGUUGUCCGGAAUUAUUGGGCGUAAAGCGCGCGCAGGUGGUUUAGAAAGUCUGAUGUGAAAGCCCACGGCUCAACCGUGGAGGGUCAUUGGAAACUAAUAAACUUGAGUGCAGGAGAGAAAAGUGGAAUUCCUAGUGUAGCGGUGAAAUGCGUAGAGAUUAGGAGGAACACCGGUGGCGAAAGCGGCUUUUUGGCCUGCAACUGACACUGAGGCGCGAAAGCGUGGGGAGCAAACAGG